rnacentral:lncRNA from 1 species
GGACGUUUGCCAGAACAGGAUCGUCGGCCGGCAAUGGAAUGGCGGUCGGUGCCGGAUCAAGGGUCGCGGCCAUCUCUCCUUCGGCAGUAUGAUCCUGGACGGUCUCUCCCGCCUCUGCGACACCUCCCGAUGGUUGGUCGGCCAUCUCUUCCGUGGCUUGAUCAUCGGCCCCCGGCGGGAUGAUGCUGCUGAGAUCCAGCUCUGGGUACAGGGCUUGGACCGCGUCCCGACCAUCCUCGUACCCCACCCGGUACGACGCGAAGCCGGACUCAAGUAGCUCCUCCCGGUACUGGUCGGAGCCACGAAAGUCGUCCACCGCCCGACUCGCCGACUCCUUCGCCGACCUAGCUUCGUCUUCCGCCCAGCCGAACGACUCC